GUAGGGAAUAUUGGGCAAUGGAUGCAAGUCUGACCCAGCCAUCCCGCGUGCCGGAAGAAGGCCCUCAGGGUUGUAAACGGCUUUUGACGGUGAAGAAUCGACAGGAUGCGUCCUGUUUUGACGGUAGCCGUUGAAUAAGCACCGGCUAACUCCGUGCCAUCAGCCGCGGUAAUACGGAGGGUGCGAGCGUUGUCCGGAUUUAUUGGGUUUAAAGGGUGCGUAGGCUGGAAGGUCAGUCAGCGGUGAAAAGCUGUCGCUUAACGAUAGUCUUGCCGCAGAUACUUCCUUUCUUGGAUGAGGAGGAGGCCACUGGAACGGAUGGUGUAGCGGUGAAAUGCAUAGAUAUCAUCCAGAACACCGAUUGCGAAGGCAGGUGGCUGUACCUUAAUCGACGCUGAUGCACGAAAGCAUGGGGAGCAAACAGGAUUAGAAACCCUUGUAGUCC
rnacentral:rRNA from 1 species